GGACUACCGGGGUUUCUAAUCCUGUUUGCUCCCCUAGCUUUCGCGCCUCAGCGUCAGUUUCAGCCCAGAAAACCGUCUUCACCACCGGUGUUCUUCCACAUAUCUACGCAUUUCACCGCUACACGUGGAAUUCCGUUUUCCCUAACUGUACUCUAGUCUUAUAGUUUCAAAUGCAGCUCCGGGGUUGAGCCCCGGAAUUUCACAUCUGACUUAUAUAACCGCCUACGCGCCCUUUACGCCCAGUAAUUCCGAUCAAUGCUUGCACCCUCCGUAUUACCGCGGCUGCUGGCAC
rnacentral:rRNA from 1 species